rnacentral:rRNA from 1 species
UACGUAGGGUGCAAGCGUUGCCCGGAUUCAUUGGGCGUAAAGCGCGCGCAGGCGGCUCCGCACGUCCCGCGUGAAAUCGCCCGGCUCAACCGGGCGGGGUCGCGGGCGACGGCGGGGCUCGAGCGAGGGAGGGGGCAGUGGAAUUCCCGGUGUAGUGGUGGAAUGCGUAGAUAUCGGGAGGAACACCAGUGGCGAAGGCGAUCACCUGGGGUUGUUCUGACGCUGAGGAGCGAAAGCUAGGGGAGCAAACGGG